rnacentral:rRNA from 1 species
UACGUAGGGUGCGAGCGUUGUCCGGAAUUAUUGGGCGUAAAGAGCUUGUAGGCGGUUUGUCGCGUCUGCUGUGAAAGCCCGGAGCUCAACUCCGGGUCUGCAGUCGAUACGGGCAGACUUGAGUGUUGCAGGGGAGACUGGAAUUCCUGGUGUAGCGGUGAAAUGCGCAGAUAUCAGGAGGAACACCGGUGGCGAAGGCGGGUCUCUGGGCCGAUACUGACGCUGAGGAGCGAAAGCGUGGGGAGCGAACAGG